rnacentral:rRNA from 1 species
UACGGAGGGAGCUAGCGUUGUUCGGAUAUACUGGGCGUAAAGCGCACGUAGGCGGCGCAGCAAGUCAGGGGUGAAAUCCCGGAGCUCAACUCCGGAACUGCCUUUGAAACUGCAGUGCUAGAAUCCUGGAGAGGCGAGUGGAAUUCCGAGUGUAGAGGUGAAAUCGUAGAUAUUCGGAAGAACACCAGUGGCGAAGGCGGCUCACUGGCCCGGUACUGACGCUGAGGUGCGAAAGCGUGGGGAGCAAACAGG